rnacentral:rRNA from 1 species
CCUACGGGUGGCAGCAGUGAGGAAUAUUGCUCAAUGGACGAGAGUCUGAACCAGCCAUGUAGCGUGUAUGAUGACUGCCCUAUGGGUUGUACACUUCUUUUAUAAAGGGAUAAAACGUGGCACGUGUGCCUUUUUGCAUGUACUUUAUGAAUAAGGAUCGGCUAACGCCGCGCCAGCAGCCGCGGUAAUACGGAGGAUCCGAGGGUUAUCCGGAUUUAUUUGGUUUAAAGGGAGCGUAGGUGGGUUGUUAAGUCAGUUGUGAAAGUCUGCGGCUCAACCGUAAAAUUGCAAUUGAUACUGGCAGGCUUGAGUAUAGUUGAGGUAGGCAGAAUUCGUGGUGUAGCGGUGAAAUGCUUAGAUAUCACGAAGAACCCCGAUUGCGAAGGCAGCUUACUAAACUGUGACUGACAUUGAUGCUCGAAAGUGUGGGGAUCAAACAGGAUUAGAUACCCGGGUAGUC